rnacentral:rRNA from 1 species
GACGAACGCUGGCGGCGUGGAUUAGGCAUGCAAGUCGAACGGUAUCAUCCUUUCGGGGGUGAGAGAGUGGCGAACUGGUGAGUAACACGUAGGUUAUCUACCCUCAAGACGGGGACAACCCAGGGAAACUUGGGCUAAUACCGGAUGUGAGCAACUUUUAGUUGUUUGAAAGGUGGCGUAAGCUGUCGCUUGGGGAUGAGCCUGCGUCCUAUUAGUUAGUUGGUGAGGUAACGGCUCACCUAGGCAAUGAUAGGUAGGCGGCCUUAACGGGUGGUCGCCCACACUGGGAUUGAGAUACGGCCCAGACUCCUACGGGAGGCAGCAGUCGAGAAUAGUCUACAAUGGUCGGAAGACUGAUGGGUGCGACGCCGCGUGAACGAUGAAUCCCUUCGGGGUGUAAAGUUCUUUUAUAUGUGAGCAGUGCUUCUUAUAUUAACAGUAUGGGGAAGAGAUAUUAGCAUAUGAAUAAGCAACGGCUAACUCCGUAGCCAGCAGCCGCGGU